AGUAACAGGUGGGUAACCUGCCCAUAAGACUGGGAUAACUCCGGGAAACCGGGGCUAAUACCGGAUAACAUUUUGAACCGCAUGGUUCGAAAUUGAAAGGCGGCUUCGGCUGUCACUUAUGGAUGGACCCGCGUCGCAUUAGCUAGUUGGUGAGGUAACGGCUCACCAAGGCAACGAUGCGUAGCCGACCUGAGAGGGUGAUCGGCCACACUGGGACUGAGACACGGCCCAGACUCCUACGGGAGGCAGCAGUUGGGAAUCUUCCGCAAUGGACGAAAGUCUGACGGAGCAGCGCCGCGUGAGUGAUGAAGGCUUUCGGGUCGUAAAACUCUGUUGUUAGGGAAGAACAAGUGCUAGUUGAAUAACCUGGCACCUUGACGGUCCCUAACCAGAAGGCCACGGCU
rnacentral:rRNA from 1 species